AUGGCAGUCAAGGAGUAAAAGGAGACAAGGGAGAUACAGGAGCUGGAAAUCUAACACAGUGUGUUGUCAAAAUUUUAGAGUCGAAUGGGACAGCCCCACUUGGCAAUAACGCAUAUGAAUCAGUGUCAGUAAUAGAAGAAACGGGAAAAAAGAUUCUGCAUUUUUCAUGCUCCUCAAAUAACGCAGACAUUGUGGAAAGCAUGGGAAAUAGUAGCAAUAAAAACUAUACCUGUCGAUGCUUAGGACAAGGAAACUAUAAUUAUACGGCAGGAGUUUCUCCUAUUAUACCGGCACCUCCAAAAAUGAUGUGCAUAAUAACUUACACAGAAUGUCCGCUAAUAUCUUAAUAAUGUUUUAAAUGUAUAGUAGAUAGUAGAUUGACCUCAUUCGUUUGCUUCCUAAUGUCUAAUCAACACUAUUUAUUAGUAAUUAGAAAAUUAACUUGUUUCACGGAUUUAGUGCAUUUGCCUAAAAGAAAAAAAAAACACAACGCAAAUAAAAAACCGUUAAUCAUAUUCUUGUUCUACAGAGGAUAUUAAAUAUAAAAAUAUUAUGUCAUGUUCUUUAUCAUAAAGUUUAUAAAGUUGACUCCUUUGA